rnacentral:rRNA from 1 species
AGAUUGAACGCUGGCGGCAUGCCUAACACAUGCAAGUCGAACGGGAGUAGCAAUACUCUAGUGGCGGACGGGUGAGGAAUACGUAGGAAUUUGCCCUUAAGUGGGGAUAACCCGGGGAAACCCGGAUUAAUACCGCAAUGACCUCGAAAGAGCAAAGUGGGGGAUCGCAAGACCUCACGCUUUGGAGAAGCCUACGUCGGAUUAGCUAGUGGUGAGGUAAUGGCUCACCAAGGCGACGAUCCGUAACUGGUCUGAGAGGAUGAUACAGUCAACACCGGAACUGAGACACGGUCCGACUCCGUACGGA